rnacentral:rRNA from 1 species
AUUGAACGCUGGCGGCAGGCCUAACACAUGCAAGUCGAACGGUAACAGGAAGAAGCUUGCUUCUUUGCUGACGAGUGGCGGACGGGUGAGUAAUGUCUGGGAACCUGCCUGAAGGAGGGGGAUAACUACUGGAAACGGUAGCUAAUACCGCAUAAUGUCGCCAGACCAAAGAGGGGGACCUUCGGGCCUCUUGCCAUCGGAUGUGCCCAGAUGGGAUUAGCUAGUAGGUGGGGUAACGGCUCACCUAGGCGACGAUCCCUAGCUGGUAUGAGAGGAUGACCAGCCACACGGGAACUGAGACACGGUCCAGACUCCUACGGGAGGCAGCAGUGGGGAAUAUUGCACAAUGGGCGAAAGCCUGAUGCAGCUAUGCCGCGUGUAUGAAGAAGGCCUUCGGGUGGUAAAGUACUUUCAGCGGGGAGGAAGGGAGUAAAGUUAAUACCUUUGCUCAUUGACGUUACCCGCAGAAGAAGCACCGGCUAACUCCGUG